rnacentral:rRNA from 1 species
GACGAACGCUGGCGGCGUGCUUAAUACAUGCAAGUCGAGCGGGCACCAUCCGGUGGCAACACUGGUGAAGUGCUAGCGGCGAACGGGUGAGUAACACGUGAGCAACCUGCCCCCAAGUCUGGGAUAACCCCGGGAAACCGGAGCUAAUACCGGAUGCCCUCGUCGGGCCGCAUGGUCUGACGAGGAAAGUUUUUUCGCUUGGGGAGGGGCUCGCGGCCUAUCAGCUUGUUGGUGGGGUAACGGCCUACCAAGGCUUCGACGGGUAGCUGGUCUGAGAGGACGACCAGCCACACUGGGACUGAGACACGGCCCAGACUCCUACGGGAGGCAGCAGUAGGGAAUCUUGCGCAAUGGGCGAAAGCCUGACGCAGCAACGCCGCGUGGGGGAUGAAGGCUCUCGGGUCGUAAACCCCUUUCAGUGGGAACGAAAUUGACGGUACCCACAGAAGAAGGACCGGCCAACUACGUGCCAGCAGCCGCGGUAACACGUAGGGUCCGAGCGUUGUCCGGAUUUAUUGGGCGUAAAGGGCCCGUAGGCGGCUUGAUAAGUCGGGUGUGAAAACUCCAGGCUCAACCUGGAGACGCCACCCGAUACUGUCA